ACCUUGCCAAAUAGAACCACAAUGAAGUGGAAAACUUGAAGGUUUUUUACUGAUUUUUCUAGAGAAAAUAAUAAAGAUGCGAGUAAUGGUGGGAGUAGCUUAUGAAGUUGCAUUAUUAAAAGGGUAUUUGUAUUUCAAAUUUCUUACCAUAUCAAAAGAUUGAGAUCUCUUAUCAACUAAUUUGAUUCAUCACAAAUGUGACAUAAAAAACCUCUCACAACAAUGGACUAAGGGAGAACCUAUAAUAUGGCCACAUUAGAUUUAAAUCGGUUGACACUUGACAUGUAACAAAAUCUUUAAUUGAAAGUUCAAACUAAUUUUUUUUUUAUUACAAUCUAACUAGUAGAUUAUGCACAGAGUGCAUUUCAAGGAAGUAAAUUUGAAACAUUGAUCAUGCUCAGAACCCUUUAAUUUGAUGGUGAAGCAGGAGGCAGGAUUCCAUAUAGGAAUGAUGAGAUCAAAGUCAAAGCACGUUCAGGUUGCCAGCUUGGAACAAGAUGUCCUGCUCCUCUUACUGUAACAAAUGUCAAUCCUUUGUAUCCCACCACAUAUCCUCCAAUCUGUCAUUAUUAUUACAAUUUGGUCGCAUUGCAAAAAUGUUAUUACUUGGUCUAGAAGAAACGUCAAUAAGUCAGUCAUAUAUCGAGUAAAUUAGCAUUUUGACACUCAAAAUUGUAAGGGUUGAGCAAUUUAGUCUCUUAAUUUUUAAAAUAUAAUAAAUUACCCCCCUUAAAUUAUAGAAUGUCAGAUCAAUCUAAUCUCUCCUUUAAUUUGAAAUAUAAAUAGACUAAUUUCAGUACCUCUUUUCCAGAAUACCAUGGACGCCAAGCAGCGUUAAUAGGGAGCUUAAGGGUGUUGAUUGAGUAUCUUGAAGAUGUGACUGGAACAACUGAAUCUGUAUCACCACUGUAGGAGAAUACACCAUCAAGAUUUAGGAGUUUGGAAUUUUUACAAAACAAAAAUUGUAACCUCUCAUCAUUCAAAACAAGAGUCUAGAUGUUACGUAUAUUAUUGUUCUUGUGAAUUCAAAUGGUCAUAACAAUUUAUACUAUAAUGAAUGUGAACUUGCCUGUAUAUCCAUAGCUUAAUGCCACUGUCGAUGAGGUACUUGACGGUGGGUAGGAUUGUAAUUGGACUGUCUUUCCAGUCAGUAAGAAGAUGACUAUGAAUUGUCAUAAAAAAUAACACAUUCUAAAUUAGAUAAAAAAAAAUACAUUUAUAUAAGUGUUAAAAAAAAGUACUAUUUUGAAAUUUCUUAAAAGUGAUUAUAGAAUAUUACGUGCAAUGGGUCCAAUUUGUAGGUUUUGCAUGAAGAGCCUUUUGAACCUCUGGUGUAUUUAGAUAGGCAGCACCAUAGUAAUCAGAACAAGGGUCAAAGUCAUUAGUUACAUAACCAGUUGAGCCAUUUUUGAGAGAAGAGUCAUGACAUAGUGGAGCAUAGAUGUUAUAGGAGUCUAUCUUUCCUUGCUCAAGGAAGGCCUUAUGUGUUGCAUUGAUACAAAUUGAUGAAACGUUUUCAGAAGUGAAGUCACAAUACUUCUCAAUCAACUCAUGAGUUUGAUCCGAGUUCAACGCAUGAGUCCAAAGGUAAUCAAAUAACCCCCUUAAACCUGUGGCAUCAUCAAUCCAAGCAUUCCCUAUCUGAAAUUUUUUAUUGUAAAGAUAAUGAUAAAGUUAGAUUUAUGAGGUUGACAGUUAUAUUGCAUUAUUAGUCUUUCAAAGUUUGAACAACAUACAGAAAUGCCUUUGAGGUUAAUAGUGGUGUUGUUAUAGAGUUUAUUGUUGUGAAGAAUAGUCGAUGCAAGCUGCGGAACAUAGUGACCAGCAUAACUCUCUCCAGUUAUGUAAAAAGCUCUUGUUUUGUACUGUGGAAAUCUCUCCAGCCAGUUGAUGAGGAAAACAUAGGCAUCUUUAGCGGUGGACUUAUCUCCUGAAUUGUCAUAGUCAGAUGUUGUGUUUGAGUAGGAAAAUCCUACUCCUGCCGGAGAUUCCAAGAAGAGUACAUUUGCAACUGCAUAUUUCAUAAGGAUAUAAGUUGGUAAGAUAAUCAUGUCUCAGGCAUGCAUCAUAAAGAAAUAAAUUAGUUAUAUUGAUGAUUGUCUCACCUUCAUUCCAAGCAUAUGGGUUGCGGUAUAAUGUUUUUCCAUCAGAAUUGACUCUGAAGGGUCCGAGCUCUUGAAAGGCUCCAUAUCCCAGUGAGGAACAACCAGGUCCUGCGAGUUUCAAACAUUAUGUUGUCAAAAUCGAAGCUUUCAAACUCGAGAGGCGAAAUAAACUUGUUGAGCUUCUGUUGACUUGACUAGUAAAACUGAGAGUUUAUCGAUUUUAUUAGAGUUUACAUAAAACUCGUUAAAGUUUCCGAAAAAGAGAGUAUUCGUGCGGGUUAAUUUGUUUUUAAGACUCAUAAUUGUAAGACUGUAAGGGUUAGCCUGAGAGCUUAACAACCAUGGUCAGAAUCAUUUCAUCAAAAGUAAAGUUCAGAUGAUGAUGCUCAUAAUAACCAGAUGUUACCAUGUUCUUUUAUAUAUAUCAAAAGAAAAAUAAUAUUCAAAAUCAAGUGAUAUUUUUCUUUAGGUUAAACUAUAUUAUGUUUCACUACUAUGAAAAUGUAGUUAUGUCAUCAAUCAAAUAUAACUAAUAAUCUAUAUAUAAAUUCUUUUUAUCGUGUGUGGUGAUGCAAAUUUUCUUAUUUAGAAGUCUCUGCAAGGUAACUUUCACAAUUUCAAACAUCAUCAUAUAAAUAAAUAAUGAUACAAUAAAGAACAUAAAAAAAUAUAAAAUGCAUACAAAAGAACAAAAGUUAACCCUCUAAAAAAAAGUGAACUGUAAAAAAAGUUUCUAGUGCAAUUUUACCUCCAUUGAACCACAGUACUAAAGGUUUAGUGGAAGAGUUAUAUGGAGACUCCACAAAAUAAUAGAAAAGUUCUCUUCCAGCCUCAGGAUCAACUGUGACAUAGCCUGAAUAUUGGUCAAAAUUUACUCCAUAGGGUUGACCAGGCAAUGUGACGAUCUUGUCUGCUAGUCUUAGCUCCUCUUGAGGUGGUGCAACAUAAGCAGCAGAAAAAGAAUGUGUUUUCAAUGCAUCUCCCUCUUCCCAAGAAAGUGUCUUAGGAGGAUUCUGAGAUUUUCUAGACAGAAUAAACUCAUUGAGUUUAUCAGCUUGACUAGCUUUGCUAUAUGGAAAAAUAACCAAAAGACUGAUCAAAUUGAGUAAUAAACAAGCAUAAAGAGAAACCUUCUUCAUCUUGUUCUCAACUUGGUUUCAAUAUAUCAUAAGUUUCUAACUAUUUAUAGAUGAAAAACAUUGACAAUUUUGAAGGACUUAUUUGGUUGUUCUUGUUGGAGCCAUGUGAAAGAAACAAGAGAGAGAUAACAUCUACCAUUGAGGCAUUGACCAAUGUCCAUGCAUUGAUCAGCCGGCUAUGUUUAAUUUAGUUUCUUCUCCUUGAAUGUAAUGUAAGGGAUUGUCAUUGUUUCCCUUUUUCUAGAAUCAUAUCAAGUUAUUUAACGUUUUAGCACUUUGUGAUUAACUUUGAAAGUUAAUGGAUGUUUGUUUCCGUAAAUUAUUGUCCUGGUUUAUGUAGUACUAGUACUACAUUCUAGUUUAUGACAGCAUAUGUAAUUGGGUUACUUAGGGGUGGGCAUAUGCUUCUCUAGUUAGGCUUUUAGAUUAAGCUCUAUUUUGAAAUUUAACAUUACCUUUUGGAGAAUUCGAUUUUAUAUGACAUUUCGUCCUAUUUAAAUUUUAUUUUAUAAUAAUACACAGCUAUUUCAACAAUUAAUCCUUAAUUAUAUAAUCUGAUUGUUAGUAAGUUAUAUAAAAUCAAAGACUGACUUACUUUAUUUAGUAUUAACUUGUAUUGUUUAUGGUUUGUGAACUAUUGUUUCAAUUGUUUUGGUAUGUUGUCUGAGUACUAGGUCCAUUGUGGAUCUAGACUAUUGCAGGAAAGUCUGAUCACAGGGACAAAUAUCAUUAAUGAUCAUGGAAUGCUUAGAUUAUCUAAGAACAACAAUUAUGAGUAUCAGGCGAUUCACCAAGCGGGCAAAGAACGGGCAGGUAACAAGCCAAUUCAGAGAGUUGAGGAAAACAUGGUAAGUUGAUUCGCCAAGAGAGCCCAAAGCUAGGUCAAAUUGAGCCAAGUUAGAUUUGUCUUCGAUCAAUAUUUUUAAAACAUCAAAUUUUUAUUAAUGCAUAAUUAAAGAUAUUAAAGAUCGUGCAUAGACAUGUGUGCAACAAUAAACAAUGUCACUUAAUACACCCGUUAUUUCUCAGUUGCCAAAUGAACUGCAGCCCUCAUUCAAUCAAAACAUGCAUCCGUGAAAUUAAGUAGCGAAAAGGACCGAAGAUAGACCAACAGGGCAUCAGACGGUUACAAAACUUCUUAAUGUUUCUUUUCAAAUUACAAACAAAAGAGAAAAGAUAGAAAUAGAGGCAUAAGUUAAAAGGGAGAAAGAAGAAGGAACAACUUCGAGUGGUGUUUGUCCUUGAGGGCAACCAUAUUGCCAUUGGAGUGGACAUAGAGAUAGAUAUAGAAAACAAAAGGUAACAAAUGGGAAGUUGACAUAGUGAAAGCAAGAUGGUGCGACCAUGCCCAUGGUGGCGGUGGAAUCUAUGGGGGAAGAACCCAUGGUGACGGUAUAAUUAAAAUAUUGAAAGUAUAUAAUCGAUUUAGAGGAUACAUUAGAAAAUUAGCUAACGAAAUCUAAUCCCACCACAAAUUUUUAACAUGUUUAGUUUCAUCACUUCUAAUGCAUUCUUUUACAUUCUAACAACCUUUCUGUUGCGAAUUCGAUGAAAAAAUUACACCAAUAACAACUUGAUGUAUGGAACAAGGGAUAAUUAAUGAGUUGAUCCAGUUCGGUCUAAAUUGACCAGUCUGAGGGAGAGAGCAGCUCUCCGUUCCACUAUAUAAUGAGUAACGUUACAAAAGAGAAAUCAAUGGGUUACAAGAAUAAGUCUCCCUCCUAUUUCUACCCAAAUUCCCAGUCUCUUCUCGUAACCAAGAGACUCAAUUCUAAUAGUGUUUCGCAAGGUGAAUCAACCCUCAAACUCUAGUGUUUGUGUUUGUUCCAAAGAGACAAACUCUAUACAAACCCUAGUUUUGUUGUUGCCUUUCUAAACCCUUGUUUCAGCCCCCUCUAUCUCAAAAUUUGCUAUGAUACAAGGUCUAUAUUUAUAGUGAAAGUAAUCCCUUUAAAAACUAAAACAAAUCUUCAAUAAAAAUACGUUUUAUUUUUAUCUUCAAUCGCACCAUCGUGGCACUAUUCGAUCCAAUCGUGCUACGAUUUUUCCAGUGAUUACUCCAGAAUUUUGCUUCAACAAUCGUGGCACGAAGCUUCUCCAUCGUGGCACGAUUCUCCAUAAUUCUGAUUUUAAGUUAACUCUCACAAUUCUCCACCUUGACUUCAAAUCAGUGAUGAUGCCAAUCAUCAACCUUCUUGCUGCUCUUUCCCUUGCUUCCCACUACUCCAAGUAGCUCCACAAGUUUACACCUCUUAACCCAUUCAGCCCUCGGAAUGUCUUCCGCCUUCUCGAAAGUCCUUGCAGUCCAACUACACUAGGAGUUUUAGGUAGUCCCACAAGCAUUCACCUUAACCUCUUCAACCAUCAGAACGUCUUCCGUCUUCUCGAAGAGUCCUUGCAGUCCAACUACACUAGAAGUUUUAGGUAGUCCCACACGCAUUCACCAUAACAUCUUCAAUGCAGGACAUCUCCCACUUCCUUGAAGAUCACCUUGCAUCCAAUCACCCUUGGCCUUCUUUUAGAGUAAUCCCGCAAGUCGUGCUAUACAUUCUUCAACCUCCGGAAUGCCUUCCGUCUUCAUGAAGAAAUCCCUUGCUCAAGUGACCCAUCUUGUGACAGUUAAAGCAUUCAGACUUUGACUUGUUACCACUCUUUCCCCGGUUACCUCUACCUCCACGCAAGGGAUAAUCAGACAACCAAAAUCAAAGUGUAUGGAACAAUUAAAUAGAAGCCAAAAGUAGAAAAACAACGGCGAGAAGAACACAAAAGAAUUUGUUGACCCAGUUCGGUCCAAAUUGACCUAGUCUGGGGGAGAGAGCAGCCCUCCGUUCCACUAUAUCACUAAAUCGUUAAGGACUUUGUUUUUCAUUUGCAUUUGUUUUCAGACUUAGACCAUGAAAGGUUGGAAUGAGAUUUUAGGGUUGAUAUCAAUUAUAAUCUCGUGUUGGAGCGAGAAGUUGUGAAUUAAAGAUCAUUCCUUUAGAUAUUUGAAGUUGAUUAAUAAUCGGGUGUUGGAUAAGAGACAUAAAUAAGUCCUUAUAAUUGAAACUAAGUUGAUAACUUUAUUAUGAGUUUGAGAUUUCUACUUUGAUCAUACAAGCAUAUACAUUAUAAGUUCCUUAUAAUUGAAACUAAGUUGAUAACUUUAUUAUGAGUUUGAGAUUUCUACUUUGAUCAUACAAGCAUAUACAUUAUAAGUUUGUGGUUUGGCCUUGCAAAAUAGAACUAAAGUGAAGUGAAAAAGUUGGAUUUUUCUAGAGAGAUAAUAAAGUUGUAAGUAAAUGGUGGGAGUAGCUUAUGAAAUUACAUUAUUAGAAGUCUAUUUGUCUUUCAAGUUUCCUACCAUAUCAAAUGAUUGAGAUCUCUUAUCAACUAAUUUGAUUUAUCAAAAAGCAAGACAUGAAACACUCUCACAACAAUAGACUAAGGGAGAGCCUGUAGACCAUACACAUAACAAAGUUAUAUGGCCACAUUCUAUUACAAUCUAACUAAUAGAUUACGCACAAAGUGCAUUUCUAGGAAGUAAAUUUGAAACAUGGAUCAUGCUGAAAACCCAUUAAUUCGACGGUGAACCAGAAGGCAGGAUUCCAUAGAGGAAUGAUGAGAUCAAAGUCAAAGCACGUUCAGGUUGCCAGCUUGGAACAAGAUGUCCUGCUCCUCUCACUGUAACAAAUGUCAAUCCUUUGUAUCCCACAACAUACCCUCCAAUCUGUCAUUAUUGUUUCAAAAAUGUUAUUACUUGGUAUAGAAGAAAAGUCAAUAAGUCGACCAUAUCUCAAGUAAAUUAUAAUUUUUUAACUCGACAUCAUAAGUGUUGAGAGUCCCUCAAAUUUACAAAAUAACAAAUUAGCCCUAAAAGUAUAGAAUGCAAAUCAAAUUAGUUUCUCACUCAAAAUAUAAAUCGACUAAUUUCAGUACCU
rnacentral:lncRNA from 1 species